rnacentral:rRNA from 1 species
UUAGGUUAAGUUAUGAAGGGCGCAUGGUGAAUGCCUUGGUACUAGGAGCCGAUGAAGGACGGGACUAACACCGAUAUGCUUCGGGGAGCGGUAAGUACGCUUUGAUCCGGAGAUUUCCGAAUGGGGCAACCCAAUCAGCUUAGUCGCUGAUUACUUGACUAGUGAAUACAUAGCUAGUAAGAGGUAGACGCAGUGAACUGAAACAUCUUAGUAGCUGCAGGAAGAGAAAGAAACAUCGAUUCCCUGAGUAGCGGCGAGCGAAAAGGGAAGAGCCCAAACCAACAAGCUUGCUUGUUGGGGUUGUAGGACUGAACAUUAGAGUUACCAAAGUGCGACGUAGUCGCAACAGUUGGAAAGCUGUGCCAUAGAGGGUGAAAGCCCCGUAGACGAAACGUCACACUCUCUGUUCAGGAUCCUGAGUACGGCGGGACACGUGAAA